UUAGAGUUUGAUCCUGGCUCAGGACGAACGCUGGCGGCGUGCCUAAUACAUGCAAGUCGAACGAGGCUUCUUGAUUGAUGCUUGCAUCAGCUAAAAAGCCGAGUGGCGAAUGGGUGAGUAACACGUGGGUAACCUGCCUUGAAGCGGGGGAUAACAUUUGGAAACAGAUGCUAAUACCGCAUAACCACAAAAGCCCCCUGGUUUUUGUGCCAAAGAUGGUUCUGCUAUCACUUCAAGAUGGACCCGCGGCGUAUUAGCUUGUUGGUGAAGUAACGGCUCACCAAGGCAAUGAUACGUAGCCGAACUGAGAGGUUGAUCGGCCACAUUGGGACUGAGACACGGCCCAAACUCCUACGGGAGGCAGCAGUAGGGAAUCUUCCACAAUGGACGCAAGUCUGAUGGAGCAACGCCGCGUGAGUGAAGAAGGUCUUCGGAUCGUAAAACUCUGUUGUCAGAGAAGAACGUGCGUGAGAGCAACUGUUCAUGCAGUGACGGUAUCUGACCAGAAAGUCACGGCUAACUACGUGCCAGCAGCCGCGGUAAUACGUAGGUGGCAAGCGUUGUCCGGAUUUAUUGGGCGUAAAGGGAACGCAGGCGGUCUUUUAAGUCUGAUGUGAAAGCCUUCGGCUUAACCGAAGUCGUGCAUUGGAAACUGGGGGACCUGAGUGCAGAAGAGGAGAGUGGAACUCCAUGUGUAGCGGUGAAAUGCGUAGAUAUAUGGAAGAACACCAGUGGCGAAAGCGGCUCUCUGGUCUGUAACUGACGCUGAGGUUCGAAAGCGUGGGUAGCAAACAGGAUUAGAUACCCUGGUAGUCCACGCCGUAAACGAUGAAUGCUAAGUGUUGGAAGGUUUCCGCCCUUCAGUGCCGCAGCUAACGCAUUAAGCAUUCCGCCUGGGGAGUACGAUCGCAAGAUUGAAACUCAAAGGAAUUGACGGGGGCCCGCACAAGCGGUGGAGCAUGUGGUUUAAUUCGAAGCAACGCGAAGAACCUUACCAGGUCUUGACAUCUUUUGCCAGGCUG
rnacentral:rRNA from 1 species